CUGGUUAUGUAUAUCACUUAUUCAAGCUUAUGGAAUUGCUAUUACAAUGGGAGCAUUAUCUCCUGUUUUAUGGAGCAAAAUUGUUACGGUUGUGACACAUAUCAUUAUGGUUUUAUACGU